rnacentral:lncRNA from 1 species
AUUUUAUUGUACAGCAGAUCAGAUGUGAUAUUUGUUUCCCUCACUCGGGUAAAAGAACCGGAUCACUAGCGGAACUCAAAGGAUGGUUAAUUUCAAAAGACUCAUUUUGAUGUCCACGACGCAUCCAUCAUAGCAUUAGUCACAAAGAGGCCACUGCUGCCAGGAGUCAAAGACUAGCCAAGCAGUGACGGUAUAGUACUUCUGUCUGUCAUCAGAGACUGGGAUGAGAUGAGAUCCACACAAACAGAGGAUUGACCGGACCUUCACGAAGCAACGCAGCCACAAGCCAUGCAUGACGGUUGGUUUCCACUUCUCACUUUCCCCUUGCUAUAUAUGCUCGACUCCACUCGACUCUUGCAAUGCAGGAACUAGUAAUAAUUAAAACGACGACUGGUGCUAGUACUAUUUUAUGCUACUCCAUAUACUAUUAAUGCCUAAUGCUAAAGACAACCUAGGACUGUUUCCUUUCUUAAUCUGUUGCUGUUGUUGCUGUUGAGUUGCUGCGCUGUCCCUCUCUCAACUCAAGAUACACCUCCUACAAUCUGUUAAACGCUUUCCUUUCCUUUUCUUUUUCCUACCACCACUCGAUGGGGUCAGUCAUCUCAUCACACCACUCCCUCCCUGCAUGCACAAACAAAGCCAAUCAGGAAGGGUAAUUUUACUUCUAUUCUAUAGAGUACUCCAUACGUCCUUCUACCAUGAUUGAGCAAGUGACUGUUGCUGUUGACACUUACUCCCAGCACAGCGGAGAGGAGAUGACACCCCUAUCUUUGCUCUAUUCACAGCCCAAUUGCUCCCUGCCCAGACGACAAUCUGAAGAACAAGAAAAACAAGCCAAAACAAUUUAUCAUCUCACUCACAUAACUCUAAAAAUCUUCCCACAAAAAUGUACAGUAAUUCCUGAAGCAGGUAAAAAACUCAACAAAUAACAGCAUGAAGGGAAAUGAAUCGACUGGAGUGGUCUUCUUUUUAAAAUAGGAGUAGUCACCUAGGCACUUGAGAGAAGCAGGAGCUGUAGAGAGGUUUAGCAGGCGGGAAAAGGGAAGAGGCCACCAGGUGGGGGCUGCUACUGUUGCUCAUGCCGCCAGUGUGAGCUGUCUGCUGCUCAGCAGCAGCAGCAGCAAUGGAGGCCUCCUUGGUGGGGAAAGCGAAGGGGCUACCAGGCAGGUUGUGCUUGGGCUCCAUGCCACUACAAUUCAAAAAACAAGAGACACACGCGCACACAUCAAUCAAUUAUGGAAAUACACUAUGGUAGAGCCCCACAAACAAAAGGCAAUAGGAACUGUUUAGCCAGUUCAUAAUAUGCUUGUCAUUAGUUGGGGUGGCUAGUUUCUAUUCUUCGAGUCUUAUCUUCCCUUCUAGUAGUACUAGUACUAUACUAAUAGAAAUAUACUCCUAAUCAAGAGAGCCUAUGAUUAGCACAACAAAAGCCUAUACCUCGUCACCUUUUUGCAAUGUCUUUUGGAAGCACUUUUUUUGUUAGGGUCAAAGAGAAUGAUAUGAUUAGCAUAUACUCCUACAGAUGAAGAAAAGGUAAUGGUUGUUGUUCUACUUACUGCAAGUUUAAUUUCCAACAAAAAUUACUAUGUACUCUCUCCCUUCCAAAAUAACUGUCUCGACUUUGUAGUAGCUCUAAUACAAAGUUGUAAUAAGCUUAAGACAGUUAUUUUGAGACGGAGGAAGUACAUGUUUGUCAGCCAUGUCAUUGUACAAAUGCAUUUCAUCAUUUGGGUGAAUGCCCUCUAUUUGUCCAGAAUGCAUUUUGUAUAGUUCAAACUCCGGUUAUACUUUUAUGGACAUACAACAACUUUGUUAAUUUGGUGCCUAAAUAUGAUAACAUGUGUGCUGCAUGAAGUAAUUACCAUUGUUGCACAGAAUGCAUAUGAUUAUACUAAAUUUUACAAGGAUACAUGUGGUUUAUGAAAAGACAAGAUUUUGAAGCUUUUCUAAUAGGAAAAUAACUAUGCAUUUCGAACAUCCCGCGGCAGACAUCCACCCAAGUGGUGAAAAUCAAUGUUGGCCCCAUCUGAUACUAAUAUCCACCCAAGGAUUGCAGAUAUACUAUUACCUUUCUUGGUAUUCACAAACAUUGGAUGCAGCUGCUGCCC